rnacentral:rRNA from 1 species
AUUGAACGCUGGCGGCAGGCCUAACACAUGCAAGUCGAACGAGUGGCGGACGGGUGAGUAAUGUAUGGGAAACUGCCUGAUGGAGGGGGAUAACUACUGGACACGGUAGCUAAUACCGCAUACCAUCCACUUGCCCCAGAUGGGAUUAGCUAGUUGGGUGGGUAAAGGCUCACCAAGGCGACGACCCCUCGCUGUGCUUAGAGGAGGACCAGCCACACUGGAACUGAGACACGGGCCAGACUCCUACGGGAGGCAGCAGGGGGGAAUAUUGCAAAAUGGGCGCAAGCCUGAUGCAGCCAUGCCGCGAGUAUGAAGAAGGCCGUCGGGUUGUAAAGUACUUUCAGCGGGGAGGCGUAACCAGCAGAAGAAGCACCGGCUAACUCCGUGCCAGCCGCCGCGGUAAUUC